CAUUGCAACCGCACGAGGUGAGAUCUUGCAUGGAGCCCCAGGCCGAGGGAUAUUGACAGUUCUUUUGUGUUUCUUCCAUUUGCGAAUAAUCGCACCAAAUUUUGUCACCUUCUCACCAAGCUGCUUGGUGAUGGUCUUGUAGCCCAUUCCAGCCUUGUUUAGUUCUACAUUCUUGUCCCUGACAUCCUUGGAGAGCUCUUUUGUCUUGGCCAUGGUGGAGAGUUUGGAAUCUGAUUGAUUGAUUGCUUCUGUAGACAGGUGUCUUUUAUACUGAGAUUAGGAGCACUCCCUUUAAGAGUGUGCUCCUAAUCUCAGCUCGUUACCUGUAAAAAAGACACCUGGGAGCCAGAAAUCUAUCUGAUUGAGAGGGGGUCAAAUACUUAUUUCCCUCAUUAAAAUGCAAAUCAAUUUAUACAAUUUUUGACAUGCAUUUUUCUGGAUUUUGUUGUUGUUAUUCUGUCUCCCACUGUUCAAAUAAACCUACCAUUAAAAUUAUAGACUGAUCAUUUCUUUGUAAGUGGGCAAACGUACAAAAUCAGCAGGGGAUCAAAUACUUGUUUCCCUCACUGUAUAUACACCCAUUUAAUUUCCAUGUUUAUUUGAGCUAGCUGAACUCAUUCCUUAUCAUCUCUACCAUAUAUUGACAUAUGUCAUUAGUUUCAUUGAAUUAUAACCUACUAAUGGCACAGGGUUCACACUUUCAUAGACAUUUCUUGUUAGUUAGUAAAUCACCUCAGGUUUGACAGCUGCAGUUCACAAGUGCGCAAAGUGCCUUUUGCGCCGCAGGGCAGACCAUACAGACACAGACCAAUACUGUCACUGGGGGGCACCCGUCCUUACUCAGGAAGUAAACAAGUUUCUUAUGGAAACUGAAUUAUGUUUAUGAAUUUAAUACCUGUAUUAUGCCAUGUGAUGUGAUCACAUGCAACGCUCCAGUCAGCAGAACAAUGCCUGAUUGUAGUUCAUACGAGAAGAGUCUGAUGCCUCUUCAGAUAGUCUCUACUGUGAUCCAACCAGGAGCCUCUCUUUCUCUCUCUUCUGAUCGACGCUCAGAGCGAAGCAGUUCUGAAGACUACACACAUCCUCUCCACAAAAGAUGAGCUCUGCUGGAACCCAAAAACAACACACAGACAGAUGACAUGAAAGGAGCGUCAGAUCCCUCCAGCCCAGACCCAUCCUCAGAAACCACAGGCCAGGAACCAUGGUGGGGUCAGCAGACACCAGACAUGCCCAGUUGAUUACACAGACAACGCUGUGCCAGAACUCCCCACACACACACACACACACACACACAGAAAACAUUCCUGCAUCCAUCAUGGCAUGAUUGUGAUUUAGAUUAGGAUAUCAUAUUUAGACUAGGAUAUCAGAUUUAGACUAGGAUAUCAGAUUUAGACUAGGAUAUCAGAUGUAGACUAGGAUAUCAGAUUUAGACUAGGAUAUCAGAUGUAGAUUAGGAUAUCAGAUUUAGUUUAGGAUAUCAGAUUUAGAUUAGGAUAUCAGAUUUAGAUCAGGCAGCAUACAAAAAAUACCCCAUGCUAUUUAUGUCAAUAAAAAUGUUUCUACUGCACCUGCACUUGGUGACUGGGCCUCACUAACGUGUGUGUGGGGUGGUUACAUAAAUCUCCAGUAGGAGGCGCUCUCCUUUGAGCAACAUAUAUUCCCACAGCCUGGAGGUGAUGUGUAUGAAGCAGACAGGUGUAAUCCCUCUCUGAUCCCCUCAGUCCCCAGCUCUCUCCUAUGCUCUGCUCUCCUACAUAAUCAGUCUCCUCUCCCUGGUCCUAAUCAAGCCUCAGUACAGCGUAGAGCUGCCCAGUGUAGCUCGGCCCAGGCAGCACAGCACAGGGCCCUGAACGGCCAGUCUAGACACACUUCCACAAAGAGAGCCUGGCUUACCCCAUUAAUUAUGCAAGGCAGCAUCGCUAGGCUAGUGCUGUGGCACUAUCUCCCCUCACAGCGCCAGCCGCCCUACACCUCCACCCUCCCUUUCCCCCCCUCAGCUAGCUAGCCCGCUGACGGCUCCACAUCAACGUCACCAUUAACGCUGUCUCAGAGCCCUCUCCCCUGUCUCCCUCCCUUUCUCCCUCCAUCCCUUUCUCCCAGCGUUCCCCAGACCUCUGUCAGGGAGCUGAGGAAUAUGAGCUGGGCUCUGAUAUCCCACUGACACAUUUUACUUCCUCACUGUUGCAGCUCUCUGCUGCCUAGCCCUAAAACUCCAUAUUUAGCUAUCCCUCCUUCUCCCUCCCACCCGUCUAUUUCUAAAAGCCUUUAAAAGGAGCCUAUUUUCCUUCUUCC
rnacentral:lncRNA from 8 species